UACAGAGGUGCCAAGCGUUAGGCGGAAUCACUGGGCUUAAAGCGCGUGUAGGCGGGUCGUUAAGUGUCCGCAUGAAAUCCCACGGCUCAACCGUGGAACUGCCGGGCAUACUGGCGAUCUUGAGGCAUUCAGGGGCGAGCGGAACAAAUGGUGGAGCGGUGAAAUGCGUAGAUAUCAUUUGGAACGCCAAUGGUGAAAACAGCUCGCUGGGAAUGAUCUGACGCUGAGACGCGAAAGCCAGGGGAGCGAACGGG
rnacentral:rRNA from 1 species